UGCUCAAGGUCCAAGCAUCGGACUCAUAAUCCGUCGGCCGUGGGUUCGAGUCCCACCCGCCCCA
rnacentral:tRNA from 1 species